AUUGAACGCUGGCGGCAGGCUUAACACAUGCAAGUCGAGCGGAGAUGAGGUGCUUGCACCUUAUCUUAGCGGCGGACGGGUGAGUAAUGCUUAGGAAUCUGCCUAUUAGUAGGGGACAACAUUCCGAAAGGAAUGCUAAUACCGCAUACGUCCUACGGGAGAAAGCAGGGGAUCUUCGGACCUUGCGCUAAUAGAUGAGCCUAAGUCGGAUUAGCUAGUUGGUGGGGUAAAGGCCUACCAAGGCGACGAUCUGUAGCGGGUCUGAGAGGAUGAUCCGCCACACUGGGACUGAGACACGGCCCAGACUCCUACGGGAGGCAGCAGUGGGGAAUAUUGGACAAUGGGGGGAACCCUGAUCCAGCCAUGCCGCGUGUGUGAAGAAGGCCUUGUGGUUGUAAAGCACUUUAAGCGAGGAGGAGGCUACUGAGACUAAUACUCUUGGAUAGUGGACGUUACUCGCAGAAUAAGCACCGGCUAACUCUGUGCCAGCCGCCGCCGUAAUAC
rnacentral:rRNA from 1 species